AUGGUGUGGGCGCCGGAGAGUGCGACCAUGUCGGUCACGGUGAAGCCCUUGCCGCCGAAGGACUGGGUGAGGUUUACGAGGUCGAAGAAUGGGGGAGGUAGCUCGUUGUUCGCCGCCGCUUCGUUUGCGUUGGUGGAGUCCCUCCUUCCUAGAGGAACUGUCCACGAAGGCCCUCCCAGUCUUACGGCGACGACGGAGUCGCGGGCGGCGACGGUGAGGAUGUGGCGCAGGAGACAGUCUGCUUGCACAUGGUCUCGAGCUGCGCCUUGA
rnacentral:rRNA from 1 species